rnacentral:tRNA from 1 species
CGGGGUGUAGCGCAGCCUGGUAGCGCACCUGCUUUGGGAGCAGGGAGUCGGGGGUUCGAAUCCCUCCACCCCGACCA